UCUUCCCUUUGGUGAGGAAUAACACGAGGAAACUUGUGCUAAUACCUCAUAAGUCUUUACGGAGAAAGCUUUAUGCGCCAAUGGAUGAGCCCGCACUUGAUUAGUUUGUUGGUGGGGUAAUGGCCUACCAAGACAAUGAUCAAUAGCUGAUUUGAGAGGAUGAUCAGCCACAUUGGGACUGAGACACGGCCCAAACUCCUACGGGAGGCAGCAGUAGGGAAUCUUGCACAAUGGAGGAAACUCUGAUGCAGCGAUGCCGCGUGAGUGAAGAAGGCCCUUGGGUUGUAAAGCUCUUUCGUCGGGGAAGAAAAUGACUGUACCCGA
rnacentral:rRNA from 1 species